CGUUAGGGCGUUCCUAAUCAUGCAGUCGAGCGGACAGAUGGGAGCUUGCUCCCUGAUGUUAGCGGCGGACGGGUGAGUAACACGUGGGUAACCUGCCUGUAAGACUGGGAUAACUCCGGGAAACCGGGGCUAAUACCGGAUGCUUGUUUGAACCGCAUGGUUCAAACAUAAAAGGUGGCUUCGGCUACCACUUACAGAUGGACCCGCGGCGCAUUAGCUAGUUGGUGAGGUAAUGGCUCACCAAGGCAACGAUGCGUAGCCGACCUGAGAGGGUGAUCGGCCACACUGGGACUGAGACACGGCCCAGACUCCUACGGGAGGCAGCAGUAGGGAAUCUUCCGCAAUGGACGAAAGUCUGACGGAGCAACGCCGCGUGAGUGAUGAAGGUUUUCGGAUCGUAAAGCUCUGUUGUUAGGGAAGAACAAGUACCGUUCGAAUAGGGCGGUACCUUGACGGUACCUAACCAGAAAGCCACGGCUAACUACGUGCCAGCAGCCGCGGUAAUACGUAGGUGGCAAGCGUUGUCCGGAAUUAUUGGGCGUAAAGGGCUCGCAGGCGGUUUCUUAAGUCUGAUGUGAAAGCCCCCGGCUCAACCGGGGAGGGUCAUUGGAAACUGGGGAACUUGAGUGCAGAAGAGGAGAGUGGAAUUCCACGUGUAGCGGUGAAAUGCGUAGAGAUGUGGAGGAACACCAGUGGCGAAGGCGACUCUCUGGUCUGUAACUGACGCUGAGGAGCGAAAGCGUGGGGAGCGAACAGGAUUAGAUACCCUGGUAGUCCACGCCGUAAACGAUGAGUGCUAAGUGUUAGGGGUUUCCGCUCUCUUAGUGCUGCAGCUAACGCAUUAAGCACUCCGCCUGGGGAGUACGGUCGCAAGACUGAAACUCAAAAGGAAUUGACGGGGGCUCGCAACAGCCGUGGAAGCAUGUGGCUUUAAUUCGAAGCAACGCGAAGAACCCUUUACCAGUCUUGACAUUCCUCUGACCAUUCCUAGAAGAAUAGAACGUUCCUCCUUUCCGGGGGCAAAGUUGACCAGUCGUGCCAUGAUGGUCGUCAGCUCGUGUCUGGAAAUGGUUGGGCUAAGUCCCGCACCGAGCGUCAACUCUUGAUCUAGUUUGGCAGGCAUUUCAGUUGCACUCAAGGUGAACCUGACUCGAUUGCACAAUACCGGAAGGUUG
rnacentral:rRNA from 1 species